CCCUAGUAACUGCGAGUGAAGCGGGAAAAGCUCAAAUUUAAAAUCUGGUGGUCUUUGGNCAUCCGAGUUGUAAUCUAGAGAAGUGUUAUCCGCGCUGGACCGUGUACAAGUCUCCUGGAAUGGAGCGUCAUAGAGGGUGAGAAUCCCGUCUUUGACACGGACUGCCAGGGCUUUGUGAUGCGCUCUCAAAGAGUCGAGUUGUUUGGGAAUGCAGCUCAAAAUGGGUGGUAAAUUCCAUCUAAAGCUAAAUAUUGGCGAGAGACCGAUAGCGAACAAGUACCGUGAGGGAAAGAUGAAAAGAACUUUGGAAAGAGAGUUAAACAGUACGUGAAAUUGCUGAAAGGGAAACGCUUGAAGUCAGUCGCGUUGUCCGGGGAUCAACCUUGCUUUUGCUGGGCGUACUUCCCGGUUGACGGGUCAGCAUCAAUUUUGACCGUUGGAUAAAGUCUAGGGGAAUGUGGCAUCUUCGGAUGUGUUAUAGCCCUUGGUCGCAUACAACGGUUGGGAUUGAGGAACUCAGCACGCCGCAAGGCCGGGUAUUCGUACNACGUUCGUGCUUAGGAUGCUGGCAUAAUGGCUUUAAUCGACCCGUCUUGAAACACGGACCAAGGAGUCUAACAUGCCUGCGAGUGUUUGGGUGGAAAACCCGAGCGCGUAAUGAAAGUGAAAGUUGAGAUCCCUGUCGUGGGGAGCAUCGACGCCCGGACUUGACCUUUUGUGACGGAUCCGCGGUAGAGCAUGUAUGUUGGGACCC
rnacentral:rRNA from 1 species